AGUGAACGCUGGCGGUAGGCCUAACACAUGCAAGUCGAACGGCAGCACAGUAAGAGCUUGCUCUUACGGGUGGCGAGUGGCGGACGGGUGAGGAAUACAUCGGAAUCUACUUUUUCGUGGGGGAUAACGUAGGGAAACUUACGCUAAUACCGCAUACGACCUACGGGUGAAAGCAGGGGAUCUUCGGACCUUGCGCGAUUGAAUGAGCCGAUGUCGGAUUAGCUAGUUGGCGGGGUAAAGGCCCACCAAGGCGACGAUCCGUAGCUGGUCUGAGAGGAUGAUCAGCCACACUGGAGCUGAGACACGGUCCAGACUCCUACGGGAGGCAGCAGUGGGGAAUAUUGGACAAUGGGCGCAAGCCUGAUCCAGCCAUACCGCGUGGGUGAAGAAGGCCUUCGGGUUGUAAAGCCCUUUUGUUGGAAAAGAAAAGCAGCAGGUUAAUACCCCGCUGUUCUGACGGUACCCAAAGAAUAAGCACCGGCUAACUUCGUG
rnacentral:rRNA from 1 species